rnacentral:rRNA from 1 species
AGUGAACGCUGGCGGUAGGCCUAACACAUGCAAGUCGAACGGCAGCACAGUAAGAGCUUGCUCUUACGGGUGGCGAGUGGCGGACGGGUGAGGAAUACAUCGGAAUCUACUUUUUCGUGGGGGAUAACGUAGGGAAACUUACGCUAAUACCGCAUACGACCUACGGGUGAAAGCAGGGGAUCUUCGGACCUUGCGCGAUUGAAUGAGCCGAUGUCGGAUUAGCUAGUUGGCGGGGUAAAGGCCCACCAAGGCGACGAUCCGUAGCUGGUCUGAGAGGAUGAUCAGCCACACUGGAACUGAGACACGGUCCAGACUCCUACGGGAGGCAGCAGUGGGGAAUAUUAGACAAUGGGCGCAAGCCUGAUCCAGCCAUACCGCGUGGGUGAAGAAGGCCUUCGGGUUGUAAAGCCCUCUUGUCGGGAAAGAAAAGCAGCAGGUUAAUACCCCGCUGUUCUGACGGUACCCAAAGAAUAAGCACCGGCUAACUUCGUG